GAUGAACGCUCGCGAUAGGCUUAACACAUGCAAGUCGAGGGGCAGCGAGGGUAGCAAUACCUGUCGGCGACCGGCGCACGGGUGAGUAACGCGUAUGUAACCUGCCCGCAACAGGGGGAUAACCCGGCGAAAGUCGGACUAAUACCGCAUAAAACAGGGGUCCCGCAUGGGAAUAUUUGUUAAAGAUUUAUCGGUUGCGGAUGGGCAUGCGUACCAUUAGGUAGUUGGUGAGGUAACGGCUCACCAAGCCUUCGAUGGUUAGGGGUUCUGAGAGGAAGGUCCCCCACACUGGUACUGAGACACGGACCAGACUCCUACGGGAGGCAGCAGUGAGGAAUAUUGGUCAAUGGGCGAGAGCCUGAACCAGCCAAGUCGCGUGAAGGAUGACUGCCCUAUGGGUUGUAAACUUCUUUUACAAGGGAAUAAAAUGAGAUACGUGUAUUUUAUUGCAUGUACCUUGGGAAUAAGCAUCGGCUAACUCCGUG
rnacentral:rRNA from 1 species